UUCCCCUGCCUUAUCCCACAUGUGACCUGGUCGCUGCCACAAGCUCCCCGAUCUGGCUGACGACAGGAGGACGCGCGCUCCCCGUCCUCGAGCUCCUGCCAGCGACGCUCCAAUGACACCGUUGUGUGACACCCAAGGAUUCGCCGUUGCCGCCAGGAGCUAUUUUGCGGCGUCGAGGAGGGGGUGGGCGAGAGUUCAUGUCCUCCCGAGGCUGCCGCCACCAGGCUCGUAUCCUCAGCGCGUGUGUCGUUGAGGUAGGGUGUGGCAACUCGUGAUAUGGCAAGGAGCUACGGCUGUAGGGCGUCCAUGGCAAUGACGUCACCUGCAUCAACCUCUACAUGAUCAACAUCCAGCUUAUUUUCACUUGGCAGUAGGUGCUAUUGAUGCCAGUUGAAUUUUCGAGCAAUCUCGCACUUUGCAUGUUCGUCUACCCAUGUCACUAUCCCCUCCAACAAGUGACAACUCGGUAACAAGCAUCGCUGAGAAAAGAAACUGGGAGAUACCAUGUCAACCAAAGUGCAGCACUUCUUGUUGAGGCUAACCCAUAAUAGUUUCCCUUUGAGACUCUCCCUAAAGCGUACAUGAAUAUUGUGACAUGAUGUGUGUGUGUGUGUGUGUGUGUGUGCUGCAAAAGAUUAGAUAAGGACAGCCCACAAGGAAGUCAAGAAACUAUGGAGAAGUUCAGAGCUAGGACUACAUCCACAUGGAUGCUAAAGAAGUAGUAAAAACAAUACCAGACCUGUCGAAAGGUCAAAGGGUGUUGGUUACAUGCAUAGUAUGGAGGUGGUGGAGCCACUGAAACAAGGUAAAUGUUGGGCGGGGGGGGGGGGAGUGGGGGGGGAUAUAGCCACGCCACAAUUCAGCUUGACAUUUUAGUACCGUGGAGCGCAAGCGCACGCAGCUAGCAGCGGCAAGCCAACAACACAGUUCCUUCUCUGAAUCUGAGCCUUUCCAAUUUUCCUUGAAUCAUUUGCAAGCUACACAAAGCGGCAAGCCAACAACAUAGUUCCUUCUCUGAAUCUGAUCCUGUCCACCGGUAAUUUUCUGUUGUUCAUUCCCAAUUUCUUCCCCUAAAUUUUACAUAGGUUAUUGUCUAUUUGUCUGUGUUACUAUAAAUAAAUUAUGGAAGAACUUGUUCGUUGACCUUGUUGCUUGCAGAUUAUGAAAAGGCACAAUGGUUUAAAAAAAUCAGAUGAUAGCAUAAACAGUUCACUCAAUUGUGUUUACAGUUCAGUGUACGUCUACUGUAAUACUACCUAUAUAAACUAAUAUAAGACGUUUUAGAUCACUGAUCUAAAACGUCUUAUAUUAGUGUACAGAGGGAGUACUAUAUAAAUGGUUCAGAAGUUGUAUUGUCCUUUAGCUUUGCCCGCCCACCCUUUUGUUUGUAGCUCCUCCACUGAGUUACAUUUCUCAUUUCUGCUACAAAUGCUUACUGUUCGAGUAGUAUCAUAAGCAGAUGAUCAGCAGAUUAGCUAGCCUGAGAUUGGCUCCUUAGGUCCAUCAAUUUUUGGGGCCUUCUUUUUCGUUGGCUCAAAGGCAAUGGAGGUGAUGUCAAAAUCGUAGUUUACUUCUAACGGCUGCAUGUCAUGUAAUAGAGCAAAAAUACGUUUUUCCGCUUUGUCACCAUGGACUAAUUGUGUUAUUCUUUACUCCCUAUGCUAAAAGUGAGUAACACGCACGCUUUAAUGUCUGUUCAAAAUUUUAUUUUUUUACUUCGAAUAAAUUAUGGUGUGUAAUAAUAUAUUUGCAGGAAAUGAAUAAUGUUGAUAUCUUGGAUGAAAGCUAUCAUGAUAGUUUGUGCUCUCUCUACAGGAACAAGGUGGACAUGUAACCUCAGAUGCUUAGUUGAUGAACUUUUUCGUAUUAUACAUGUGAUAUUUGGAUAAACCCAAAUAUCCCUUUUCCGUACAUGCUGGGUAUAAUGGGCCUUUGAUUUAUUUUGAAGAAUGGUAUUUGUGACUCAAAGAACAAGCCGUAUUGAUGGAGAUGGCGAGCAUGAAUUUGUAGGCGGAGACAGUGGGACGAAGAGCAAGAGUAAGAAGAAACUGAUUGGCGGUAGAAAGGUUGAAAAUGUCACGUGAGGUACAUUAGAACUUAAAGAUGUAUGUUCAGCAUGAAUAGUAAUGAGCAAUUAGAAUA